ACUUCGAAGUAAGUUAUCUUUUAUUUAUAAUAUACACGUAUUGUCGCUGCCACGUACAUCGCAGAUCGUGAGGGUCAUCAACACAAUCGAAUGGUAUGAGUGACUCAAUUCAUUUAUUAGUGACGUCAAAAUUUUAUAAACUAACAUCUCAUACCCUAUUGAAAUUUUCUCAUAUAUCAUCCAUGAUAACUAUUUUUCAUUUACUAACGACAUGCCGCGACUAUACGCGUUAGUAUGUAUAUUAAUGACAACAGAUUACCUUGAUCAUGACGGUAUGCCCCGACGCCACGAGAUGGCAAUGACCGAUGACACGACGCCACCAGACUACCGAGAAAGCUAAGGAAAUCGGAAUGUCGAAUAAUCAUCAUCAAUGACCAUGAUGACACAUGAGACGUUUAGAGGUUGCAUCAUGCUGGCACGCAUGUACGAAGUCAAAUAUAAACGAACGUCAUCAUAUCUGUGGCCGACUUCAGUCAUGAUAUCUUCCUAAAGCCGCCACAGGGGGGCAAGAUAGUACAUACUCCCGUUCAGUUUAAUAUACUUGUUACAACUUUGAAAUUUAACUGACGAUGUGAUACAAUUUAUUUUCAUGAUGAUCUUGUCGUAAGAUUUUGGUAACAGGUACGACGCUAAGACAAAUGUACGGACACUGGGGCUAAACCACUAUCACAUGUCGAAAUAUGCGGAUAAAGAGAAGUCAUUGGGUUUCCCAAAGACGACAAGUGAUAAGACGUCAACCGAUUAACAAGAAAGGUAAUUUAUAAAGAGUUCACAUGUAUUUGAAUUUACGACAUAUUGUAAUGUAAGUUUGUCAAAUGAUUUUACCAAAGACGUUAAGAAAAAUUCCACUUAAGAGAGUAUAAGGAAUUCACAUUAACCAUAUGCUCCUUCUUGUGCCACAUUGCGAGGAUCAACCAAUAAGUCGACCAACGUUGGAAUGGAUAGUGUCAAGACCAGCGAUGCGUCAAUCUCAUUCAACGUGACGGGACGACGCCAGAUGUGACGACGAUGAUACAAGCGAUGACAAUGAUCUCAGGAACGAAAACAAGAUCGGCGACGAGAGGUGCCACGACAUCAGGAGAAUGCUGUUGAUUGUAGAAUCGUCAUCAAGGGACAGUCAGCGACACGACGUAAUUUCGUUACACGAGCCCAUA